GACGAACGCUGGCGGCGUGCUUAACACAUGCAAGUCGAACGGAAAGGCCCUGCUUUUGUGGGGUGCUCGAGUGGCGAACGGGUGAGUAACACGUGAGUAACCUGCCCUUGACUUUGGGAUAACUUCAGGAAACUGGGGCUAAUACCGGAUAGGAGCUCCUGCUGCAUGGUGGGGGUUGGAACGUUUCGGCGGUUGGGGAUGGACUCGCGGCUUAUCAGCUUGUUGGUGGGGUAGUGGCUUACCAAGGCUUUGACGGGUAGCCGGCCUGAGAGGUGAACGGCCACAUUGGGACUGAGAGACGCCCCAGACUCCUACGGGAGGCAGCAGUGGGGAAUAUUGCACAAUGGGCGGAAGCCUGAUGCAGCAACGCCGCGGGCGUGAUGACGGCCUUCGGGUUGUAAACCGCUUUCGCCUGUGACGAAGCGUGAGUGACGGUAAUGGGUAAAGAAGCACCGGCUAACUACGUG
rnacentral:rRNA from 1 species